GUUAAUUAGAUUAAAAUCUGAUGCGUUCCAAAACCCAUUUUUCAGGUGAAAUCAAUGUUGAGUUGAUAGGCCAUGCAAUCAUCACAUGAGCACCUUGUGCAUCUCGUCUCUCGUUAACCCAGCUGCAAACUUAAUGAGGCAUGCCUGUGACCCAUCAAUGUAAUGAGGAUAAAACCACUGUGCCCAGCGUACAGCUCUACUUAAAGGACUCCAGGGUGGAGCUGUUUAUUGUUCUUAGCAUCAUGGUGGUUUUUACUGUGGCGACUGUGGUUUUGCUCAAUGUGUACGCUUUGAUGGUGUUUGGUGUUCCAGUUCAUGGCCGUUCUUCAGACAAUGAGCGUACUAUGCAAAACACCAGAGGGGGAAUCAUAUCGGAUGCCAAAGAGGCUCAGACUUUGUGUGUGUGUGAUCUAAUAGUCCAUAUUCCACAUUUGGCUUUCUUUGUGGACCCAGAUGGGAUGGAGGAUUGGUGUGAAAGCCAACUUGAUUCUGCAAACAUCAUUGAUGACGAUCAUGAUGGUCAUGGUGAUGGCGAUAAUGAUGAUGCAGGUGAAGAUUCUGUUGCCACCCCUACACCAAAUCCCCCAAACCAUACUACCUCAGCCCAAACGCAAGCUACUGGUGAAGCAAGUGAAGAUGCUGUAGUUACCGCCACACUAAAUUCUCAAAACAAGACCACAUCUUACCAGCCUGGAGUGACUGGUGAGGCAAGUAAAGAUGCUGUGGUUGCCACCCCAACACCGAAUCUCCAAAACCUGACUACCUCUGCCCACACUGAAGCUACUGAUGAGCCCAGUGAAGAUGAUUCAGUUACUACCCCAGCACCGGUUCCCCCAAACCUGACUACUUUGGCCCAAAAUGAAACUACAGGCAAUAUACUCUGCAAUACUUAA
ensembl:lncRNA